rnacentral:rRNA from 1 species
CCUACGGGAGGCAGCAGUGAGGAAUAUUGGUCAAUGGGAGAGAUCCUGAACCAGCCAAGCCGCGUGAGGGAAGACGGCCCUAUGGGUUGUAAACCUCUUUUGUCGGAGAACAAAACCCGGGACGUGUCCCGGGCUGCGUGUAUCCGAAGAAAAAGCAUCGGCUAACUCCGUGCCAGCAGCCGCGGUAAUACGGGGGAUGCAAGCGUUAUCCGGAUUUAUUGGGUUUAAAGGGGGCGUAGGCGGUCCGUUAAGUCAGCGGUAAAAUUGCGGGGCUCAACCCCGUCGAGCCGUUGAAACUGGCAGACUGGAGUUGGCGAGAGGUACGCGGAAUGCGCGGUGUAGCGGUGAAAUGCAUAGAUAUCGCGCAGAACUCCGAUUGCGAAGGCAGCGUACCGGCGCCAGACUGACGCUGAGGCACGAAAGCGUGGGGAUCGAACAGGAUUAGAUACCCCAGUAGUC